UUGCGAGGAGUUAGAGGUCGUGCACCGGCCGGAGCAGCAAGAGCAAUGAUCUGGCGGCCUCUCUUCUCUGCCACUGCUCCCUUCUCUUCCUUCAGCUCUCGAGACGUCAACCUGCAGGUGUAGGUGCUUGUGUCUCAACCAUCUUUUUCCUGUAUCCUCAAUCACAUUUUUUAUUUCUGAUUCGUGUGUUACCAUAUUAUUGCUAGGCUAGAGUUUGUCUGUGGGUUGUUUAUGCCCGGCUUUAAUAUCGGCCCACACUAUUUAUAAGGAACUGCUGAUGUCCAGUUCAGAGGUAUGUUUUCUAGCUGAAGCAUUGUUUGAAUAUCUAUGGCCCAUGCUCCAAGUGAGAUUAAUUCUUUCAUUUAUUUUCUACUAAUGUGAGUGAUUUAGUUCUCACGUACUGAUAAAUGUGCAUGGCAUACUAUUUUUAGGCAAACCAUUGUUUAACAAUGGAUAUGCGGAGGGUUUUUUAUGCAUGUGCAUUUCCCCUGAAUCUAGACAGCUAUUCAACCUAUUGCGGACAUUUUUGGUGGAAUUCAAUGCUUCGUCAUGUAUUUUUGACCUCUAUAUUCCCUAUCAUGUGUAUUUAACAAGUGAAUGUUCAGUGAUUCUCGAUUUUGCCUUUUUAAUCUAUGAAUGCAAUCCUUAAUGUGAUGGAAAUGUAUUGUACAUUUUUUGUCGAGCAAAUAUUGAUUCAUGCCAUGCAUGUUAUCGGUGGGUUUAAAAAAAGUUUUCCUGAUUGUAGUGUGAUUGCUUUAUCAAAGUUGGUUUAGUUACCCAACCUUCUAUUUUCAUUGAUUUUGUAUGAUUCUUGAAAACGGAGUGUGGGUUGUGUUUAUCAAUAAUAUACUACAGAUGUCAGUUCUGUUGCCAAAUGAUCUAAACUUGAUUUACCCACUUAUAGAACAGAAAAGAGUAUGGUAUUUACCUUCCGUGGAUUUACUUGAAUGACUGUACAAGUAUCUCGGCUUGGUUUAUUUCCCAUCUCCAAUUUGAUUAAUAAUUACUAAGAUAUUUUUUCUUACUCCUUAUUUACUGACAUGUUUGAUUUGUAGUCUCCUCGUAUAUAAUCAAGUAGUGGUAGCUAAACAAACGUAUAUCUUGCCAUGCAUUGGUGAAAGUAUUAAAGCUUGUCUCUGGUUUACUUUCCAUGUGCUAUCCAUACCCAUGUUUUAUGUAGUUAAUUAAUAAACUCUCUCUAAAUAUGAUGAUCACAUGAGAUCAGACAGGUUCAUGGGGUGAUCGUGUAGCCGAGUUGAAAGUCAGAGGGUUUGUGCUAUGGGUCAUAGGAAUGGUCAUAACCUUAUUUGUUGGAAUAUUGCCUAAGAUGAUCAAAGCUAAUUAUUUUAGUCACUUGAUCUGUUAUAUUGCCAUAAACUGAAUUGGUACUAGGCGAACAUGAGGAUCUUUUAGCAGGUAGCCAUGUAAAAAACAAGAUAUAUGUCUAACAUAUAAUUUGAGAUGAAGUUGUCCUGCUCAAUUAAUUUAUAGUUUUCUGGAUGUUCUGGUUUUCAGUUUGGGAGCAAGUAGAAAUACCUGAUUUGAUGCUUAUUCUUUAGAAUUUUUCACAUUUCGCGAGAGCUAGGCAUACUUCUCGGUGACCUUGUCAUCUCCAACCCAUCUGUGGGUAUUUCAACUCCCCUUCUGUUUUUCAUUUUUCUGUGUACAUUUGCUCUACUCUCACUUUUAAUAUCGCUGGUAUUCUAUCAUUUUCUUAAUGCUUUAGUUUUGCUUGUUCUAUCUCCUCCCAUGUGCUAUUUAGAGUUCUUUUCUCUGUUUUUAAUUGCGGUUUUACAUCCUAUUCUAUUUGAGCUUUUUGGCUACGACAUAAUGAAUGGAUUAUUUCUUUAUUUGGCCUUUAUUAUAUUGUUUCCCAUCUACAAUAUGAAUCACUUUGCUAGCUAUAAAAAAACAUUAUGGGUUACUGCCUAGUGGACCUCUGAAUAUUUUUUCACCUCAGCUUGAUUGACAUGCUCACCGGCAGGAAAUGUAGUAUGAGAUGAUUUUCUUAAAUUUCUCUAGCUUUUCUUAUUGGUAUGUGCAUAAAGGACAAAGUCUUGUAUACUUAAUAUCAAGCCUUAUUAAUCUGCAUUUUUGGAAUACCAUUAAAAAUCUUGAAUUAGUUUUGCUUUGAUGGGUAAUCUAUCACUAAACAGAAUAUACCUUCCAGCCUUCACACAUAGAGACUAAUUUAGUACUUGGGUUGGGCUGCCCUAUUUUUCUGUGUGGUCGAAUAGGAAAGCUAAAUGUACAAUUUAUUUGCUCUACACCAUUUAUUGUGCCACAUUGAAGUACAUCUUUUUAUUAUUUCUUUCUAAUGCAAUCAUCAAUACCAUACAUUCAUUAAUCUUCCCAUUUUUUGUUCUCUUUUUGGUCAUACAUUUGGAUUAUUAUGGAUUUUCUGAAGGUGGUGGUGGGGGUUGCACGACAUGUUCUAUCUGGUUUCAGGAGUGUGUGCUGCUCCUGAAUUUUUUUCUCAGGUUGUCUCUUCAUAUUUCCACCUUAGUUCUGACAUUUUAUUUAUUGCUAAUCAUUUGAGUUAGUGUACGAUGAUAUAUUUGUGUGACGCCCGGGUAUUUAGCUACAGUAAUUCCCCGCUAAUGAUGCCACGUCACUUCGAUUACUUUCGCUAAUCUCGUGUUAGUUCGGAACCGAUUCAAAUUCAUAUUCAAAAUCAAGCAAACAAUAAACGUUUUCAAAAGUCAAAACUAAAAUGUUAUAAAUGUGACAAAUAAUU
rnacentral:lncRNA from 1 species